GGCUGGAUAGCUCAGUCAGCAUCGUAUGAGACUCUUAAUCUCAGGGUUGUGGGUUCAAGUCCCACAUUGGGCA